UCAUGUCUUACCUUUCCACAUCCUUCAUAGUGACACUGAUAUUGUCUCUCUCCAUGAAUGUGAGCAUGCUUUCUCAAAGAGGCAGCAUCAAUAAAUGUCUUCCCACAGCCUUCAUAGCUGCAUAGAAAUAGAACUUCAGUGGUAGGUUCUGGCUGCUGUACCGUACAUCCGCCUUGGCCGUACAGCAGAUUUGGGAUCAAGGAUUAGUGUGUAGUGGGUGAAAUUUCUAUCCCUAUCCAAUUUUUUUUUCAAAUAAAGGAAUAUUAAAAAGAGAGAAGAUAAAUUAUCCUAAUUUUUCCAAUUUUCAUGGCAUAUCUUAGAUUUAAGUUCUACAUGCAUUGCCUGGUAAAAUGGUUUACGCUCUACAUGCCUGGGAAAUUACAAGUGGGUGAUUGAUGGGCUAUAGGUUGGGGGUUGAAAAUUAUUUCCAAAUGGAUUGCCAAUUUAUGAUCAAAGCUUUGUUAGAGCCAGCACAAAAGUCAACAAUUAAUGAAUCCAAUUCCCUCUUUAUGACACUAACUGAUUAACUUAUUCAUGUUGUGGUCUCCCCUCUCUUUCAAAUCAUUUAUGUUCUGAUGAUAUAACGAUUGAAAUUUUGUCAAGCUUACCAGUCAAGUCUCUUAUGCGGCUCAGGUGCAUAAAUUUUGGCAUGAUGAGUUGAUUGCAUCAGCUUUGUGUUUAUCCCAAGAUGAAAAAUUCACAAAUUCGUCAUAUGAAAUUCUUUAGCGAAUCACCAAUAUUUUAAAAUUAAAAAUUUUUAACUUUAUUUAUAUGCUGCAAUGAGAGAAAAAAAGAUGCUGAAAGCAAGCAGAUAAAAGAUGACAGAGAACCUGUUUGUAAGGGUUAGAUACAUACAAGGUGCCCUUACCAGAAGGGUGAAGGAAACAUUUUUAUAUGCUUCAGUCUUCGUACUCAGUCUCCUCAUCAUCAUCUUCAUUAUUUUGCCCGUACCUAAAUCCAUCCUCAACAUUGUCACGAUCUUCCUCAGUUUCUUCACUAUCUUCUUCCUCGUAAACUUCUUCUUUAGGAGUCCAUUGUUGCUUUCUCACUACAUUCAAGGUGGCAGGAGAUGGAGUUGAGCUUUUGCGUUGCGUUACUUUUGCAGGAGGCAUCUUCAAGUUUGGCUUCGCCCGGCUUUGUUUUUGACUUUUACCAUUAACACGUUUUCCAGCAUAGGCAUCUUGGUCACUGCCUUCAUCCAUCUCAUUAUCAGCAUUAGUUGUGGCAUUCUCGGCAUUUUCAUCAGACAUAUGGCCAGGAUGCUCCCGCUUCAGAUGGAGUUUAAGCUUGUAUUCAUGGAUAUAUGCCUUUUCAAUAAAUGUCUUCCCACAGCCUUCAUAGCUGCAUAGAAAUAGAACUUCAGUGGUAGGUUCUGGCUCCGGCUCUGGUGCCUCUGGCUCUUUUGCCUUCUCCUUUAAGGCCUUCAACGUUUUCUCUGAACACAAACGGACGAAGGACAUAAAAUGUUGGGAAUAAAUGAACAUGAGAAUUCCUUAAAAGUAAAUUUUGACACAAAGCCAUCUAAAGAUUUCUCCUCUUACAAAACUCUGACAUGGCUCCCCUGAAUCUAAUGGAAACUAUGGAAAUUUAAAUGCCAAAGCUUCCAUUAUUGAAUCAAAAGCAAGUUGAAAGACCAUUAGCACAUCAGAUGUAGUGCACUACUCACAGAAAGAAACAAAAAUGCAAAUGAGAAUCUACAACCGACAAAAUAGUGUGAAAGCUUAACAACAGAUAACAGAAAGAACUGAUAACCACUAGCUAGCAAGAUAUACUCAUCAAAUACAGCAUGCCACCUUAAAACAAUGUUGCUCAUAGAGUUACAUGGUAUUCACACAAAAGCAGCAAAGCAAAAAUAUGGAAAACCCUACAAUCAUUUAAACUUCCAAAUAAAAUGAAAAAAUACACUUUAUUUAUUUAAAAAAAAAAACUAAUGUUCUAAUGGCAUGUUUAAAAGGAUAAAUUGUAUCAUCUUCUCCAUUCAUAAUCUUGAAUAUUAAUCUCAUCCAAUUCACAACAAACUGAUCCUCAAAGAUAUCGAAUUCCUUAAGCACCCAAAAAAAUGAAAAUAACAAAAGAAAUCCCGAUUCCACCUCUUUGGACUAGAAUAGCCUAUGGAGACUUUGCGACCAUAGCCCAAUAAGUUGUAAUUGCAACAAAAUUUGCAAACAUACAAAAUUCUCAGAAUUUCCCAUUCAAAGCAAAGAAGAAGAAGCAUUUAAAUUAGGUACUCUAAAUGCUGUUCAACUUAGUUUCCAUUUAUUUCUUCAACUUAGUUUUCAUUUAUUUCUUCACCACACACUAACUUAUUUAACUUUCAUACAAGUUGAAUCAAACAACAGUUAUUAACAAAUAACAACAUAUAAAAAAACCAAAAAAAUUUAAAAUUUAAAUUUAAAUUCAACGAAAUGUUUUUUGUUAGCAUAAGAAUGUAUAAAAAUCACUUAGCAUUUACCCACCUCAAAAUCUGGCACUUCCCACCAGUAGCCGCAAUAUCUUGGGGCACCCUUCAAGGAAAAUAAUAAUAAUAAAUAAAUAAGAAAAUUGCUUCGCAUUGAAAAAAUAAAAAUUGAAACUUGAAUUAAAAAAUAGGAAACUUGAAAGAAUUAAGAAAAGGGAAUUGGCUAAUUUGGCCAAAAUUACCAUUCUCUGAACCAUUUAACAGCCGGAGUCUUGGAUUUGACAAUUGGUCGUCUUUCGAAGUAACUGUGAGUGAAAUGAGUCUCCAUUUGUUCUUUAUUUGCAUAAAUUAUUGGCUUGAUUUGUUGAUUGUUUUAUUGAAUUGAAACAAAGUAGCCGUUUCGAAGAAAGAGUGAGAUUGGGGGAACAAAGCUGUUAAACCUUUGAAGUGCAAUUCGGUUUGUGGACGUGUUGAUGGAACGACGUCGGUUCGGUGUGAUGGAAUUGGACCGGACGGUUCAAGGGAUUUUUCCAUUUCGGGUUUCUCCAAACCGCUAACAAAACGGUUAGAAAUUUAAUUCCAUAAUUAUUGAAAAGAAGUUAAAAAAAAAUUAUUAAGAAAUAAAACUUUUGUUAAAUUAGUUUUCAACUUGGAGCCUAGCAAUAUAACAAGAGAAAGAAAUAAAAUAAAUAAGAGAUAUAAUAAUUUAUAGAGAAUUUUAUUUAAUUUUAAGCAUAUGUAAAAUACGAAGAUGAGUAAUUCUUCUACAAUUACAUUAUCAUAAAAAUGAAGUAAACAAAUAGCUAUGGAUAUGUCAUCAAUCAUUUUUCAAUUAAGGUAUUGUUUACUUUCUGGAGUGGGAGUGUGGAGUGUGGAGUGUGGGUUCCUCCCACUCCAGUGUUUACUUACAUUAAAAAAGGGGAGUGGGAAUCUGUGGGUCCCACCCAAUUUUAGAGUGGGGAGUGGGAUUCUCACUCCCAUGGGGGGAGGUGAGAGUGGGAAUCCACUCCCCCCUCUUCCCAUUUUAUCCUUAUAAAAAUAAAUAAAUAAAUAAUAUUUAAUAAAAUAAAUAAUAUCAUAUUUAAUAAAAUAAAAUAAUAUCAUAUUUAAUAAAAUAAAUAAUAUCAUAUUUAUUAAAAAUAAUAAUUAUAUCAUAUUUAUUUUAUUAAAUUUAAUAAAAUAAAAAUAAAUAAAUAUUAUAUUUAAAUUAAUAAUAUUAAACGUAAAUUAGAGAAUGACAUAAUUGAGUUAAUUUUCAGAUUUUAAAAUUUUAACAUAUUGCUUAUAAAUACAUGUUUUUAAAUGAAAUAGUGCAGAAGAAAUUCAAAUAGCUCAAGUGUGCCCCACCCAUCAAUCUAAUUCCCAUUUGAUUAUGACUAAAUGCAAGAUUAAUGAAUUAAUGUUGUUAAUUUGUAAUUGAAGAACAUUAUAGAUAGAAGGCAAUCAUUGAUUUCUGUUUCAUAUGAUAUUAUGUAGUUUUCUUUUUUUAAUUUAAGAAAUCAAUAAAUUUGAAUAUGAAAAUCUAUUAAAUGGUUAUUUGGGUUUAGUACUUACCAGUUAACUAAUUAAAAUAGCAUAUUUUAUAUAAUUUUAAUAAAAAAUUAUACAUAAUCGUAAUUACAACUUUAAUUGUAAUCAAUAGUCACAGUUGUAAUUGGAAUUCUUAUUAUAGUUACCUUAAAAUUGAGUAACAUAUCUAUUAGAUGAUAAAUAUGUAAUUUAUAAAUUAUGAAAUUCAUGAUCUAUUAGAUGAGUGACCCAUAGUAGUUGGGACUCAAAAUUAGAACUUAAAGGUUGUGAUCACUCAUAUUUUUUAUUCUUUUUUUUUACAAUUACAAUUGUAAGGAUUAUUAUUCAAGCAACUAUUGAAAAACAAACAAUCUCUUACUUUUAAUAAAAUCGUUUGGAAUUCAACAUUAAAGAUGAGGUGUUAUUUGUCAAGAAAAUAAACAGACAUCAUGUCUUUGUCUUAUAUAUGAAAUAUAUGACAUGUCGGUUACAUUUUAAAAAAUAAAACACAUGUCAGCUAGCAUAUGCACCGGCACAUAUUAUUUACACAUGUCAGUUAUAUGAAAGUAUCGGAAGACAUGUCAUCUACUUCUUUCUCUUAGGUACAACUAGUUGUUUGUCUACAAAACAUUAAACAAUUGUUUUAUCUAAAGCCUAUGAGCCGGUUAAGAUAUUAUUAUUGUUAUUGUUGUUGUUAUUACUAUUUUUUUUAAUCAUUGUUAUUGUUACUGUUAUAAUAGAUAUAAUACUGAGGAUAAUAAUUAACUAAAGACAUUUUGGUAAUUAACUUGCAACGAUUCAUUCUGAUCCUUGACAAAGUAGACAUACCAAUGAUGAGGAUACAGCCUAUUCCAACUCUAAUUCUAAAAGUUAAAUAAAAAACUUAUUUUAAUUCCGAUUCUCAAUUGAUAAACGCACAUGGACGACUUAUUGUCUCGAAACUAAACUUUUACAACAAUUAUUUUCUCAAAAUAACGUUGACUGCUAAAUGCUAAGUAGGGGUGGAUAUUUGUCAAUCAACUACAAGUAAAUUCAGUUCAUGUUCUGAAUGAGAAAAAUAAACAUAAAUAUACUGAUCGCAAAAUACAAAAAUUUGAAGGUUAAUCUAGUAAUUAUAAAUAAUAAUAACACAAUAUAUAAAUAAGAUGAAAACUUUUAUGGUUUGGAUUAUUUAUUUAACUUUUGUAAACAAAUUCAUAUUCAAUUCGAUUAGUUAUGGAUUCAUUUAUUAUUAGGAUAAAUUAAUAAUAAAUGAAUUUGAAUUUGAUUCAAUUCUUUUAUUAAUCUAUUAAACGAAUUAAACUAAAUAAUCGUUUAAUAAACGAAUCUAAUUCGAAUCCUGAGAUUUUAAUUCGUUUAAUAAACAAAUCAAAUCCGAAUCCACAAAAUUUUGACCCAAUUCGUUUAAAAUUCGAUUCGAUUCGAUUUUUCAUUUUGCCACCCCUACAAGCGAAUGUUAAUGCUUGUCUCUCAUAAAUGGGCAAAUCCAGAUCCACAUAUUCUACAUAGGCCAUCACAAAUUGAAAGUUUCAAGUGUUUUCACCAUAAAAAAUUAUUUUUGCCUUGAUAUCUUUUUUUUAUUUUUUUUACUUCGAUAUCUUUGAAAUGAAAAAGUAAUAUAUAAUUAGAUUUACUAAAAACCUUGGAACAAACUGAAGAUGUAAUUAUGAUUUACUAAAAAAGAUUAAGAAUCAAUGUCCAACAUUGAGUGAAAGUGAAAAUUUAGUUUGUAGGAUCUGACAAUUUUGAGGGAGAAAAUGCAACCNNNNNNNNNNNNNNNNNNNNNNNNNNNNNNNNNNNNNNNNNNNNNNNNNNNNNNNNNNNNNNNNNNNNNNNNNNNNNNNNNNNNNNNNNNNNNNNNNNNNNNNNNNNNNNNNNNNNNNNNNNNNNNNNNNNNNNNNNNNNNNNNNNNNNNNNNNNNNNNNNNNNNNNNNNNNNNNNNNNNNNNNNNNNNNNNNNNNNNNNNNNNNNNNNNNNNNNNNNNNNNNNNNNNNNNNNNNNNNNNNNNNNNNNNNNNNNNNNNNNNNNNNNNNNNNNNNNNNNNNNNNNNNNNNNNNNNNNNNNNNNNNNNNNNNNNNNNNNNNNNNNNNNNNNNNNNNNNNNNNNNNNNNNNNNNNNNNNNNNNNNNNNNNNNNNNNNNNNNNNNNNNNNNNNNNNNNNNNNNNNNNNNNNNNNNNNNNNNNNNNNNNNNNNNNNNNNNNNNNNNNNNNNNNNNNNNNNNNNNNNNNNNNNNNNNNNNNNNNNNNNNNNNNNNNNNNNNNNNNNNNNNNNNNNNNNNNNNNNNNNNNNNNNNNNNNNNNNNNNNNNNNNNNNNNNNNNNNNNNNNNNNNNNNNNNNNNNNNNNNNNNNNNNNNNNNNNNNNNNNNNNNNNNNNNNNNNNNNNNNNNNNNNNNNNNNNNNNNNNNNNNNNNNNNNNNNNNNNNNNNNNNNNNNNNNNNNNNNNNNNNNNNNNNNNNNNNNNNNNNNNNNNNNNNNNNNNNNNNNNNNNNNNNNNNNNNNNNNNNNNNNNNNNNNNNNNNNNNNNNNNNNNNNNNNNNNNNNNNNNNNNNNNNNNNNNNNNNNNNNNNNNNNNNNNNNNNNNNNNNNNNNNNNNNNNNNNNNNNNNNNNNNNNNNNNNNNNNNNNNNNNNNNNNNNNNNNNNNNNNNNNNNNNNNNNNNNNNNNNNNNNNNNNNNNNNNNNNNNNNNNNNNNNNNNNNNNNNNNNNNNNNNNNNNNNNGAUUCAUUCUGAUCCUUGACAAAGUAGACAUACCAAUGAUGAGGAUACAGCCUAUUCCAACUCUAAUUCUAAAAGUUAAAUAAAAAAAUUAUUUUAAUCCCAAUUGAUAAACGCACAUGGACGACUUAUUGUCUCGAAACUAAACUUUUACAACAAUUAUUUUCUCAAAAUAACGUUGACUGCUAAAUGCUAAGUAGGGGUGGAUAUUUGUUAAUCAACUACAAGUAAAUUUAGUUCAUGUUUUGAAUGAGAAAAAUAAACAUAAAUAUACUGAUCGCAAAAUACAUCCAAUAAAUCAAAGGAAGAAAGAUAAUAUGAGUGGAGCACGAUGAAAGUUUAAGGAUCCUCCUCUUCAAUGAUGCCGAACAGCCCUCCUUACUCUUGAUCUUCUUCUUGCCUUUGUAAUUGUUUUUGAAUGCUUAUUCCACUCGGCCAUUCUUUGUGGUGCAUGCCUCCUUUAUAUUUGCAAAUUAGGUUUUCCGAACCAACACACAUGCGCGUGCCUGUGUUUAAAUUAGGAAACAUGCAGCUUGUAAUUUUAUUGCUGACCCGCGCCUAUAUUUUCUCCCGCGUUUCUCCCAGAUUGCUGCAGCAUUGGUUGCUCUAACAUCCGCCACGGCACUUGUGUCAUUUCCGAUUGUGCUUUCCUUCUUUUGUGGUCAUCUUCUUUCCUCUUCUUUCUCAUCUAAUGUCUCCGCAUCCUUUUAUGAAUUUAAAACCUAUUUUUAGCACAAAUUACUAUGAUUCAUGCAAAACUUGUUAAGACUAAACUAAAAUGAAUGUUUAUGCAAAAAUUCGCCAAAAUGUAAUCAAAAUACAUUAUUUGCUUUCUAAAUGGCCUUUAUUCAAGUCUAGAAUAGAUGUAAUAACUCUCAUUUCCUAGAGUUAUCAACAGUGACACGGUUUGACCACGCGAUUUGAAUAGUGACACGGUUUGAACAGUGAUGCAGUUUGGUUGAAAAUAAUCCUAUGUAUACGCAUGUACCGUAUGCGUAAUUUUUGGUCCACUAACAUGCUGCCACGUCACCGAUAAACAGUACAUAAAAAUUUUAGUCCAACAGGAUCGUGACACCUCAUCAGUCAAUGCCACAUCAUCGAUCCGUCUAUGUGAGCAGUGUCGUGAACAGUAACGUAGACAGUAUCAUACAUGUGAACAGUACCAUUUUUCCUUUUAUGCUCCUCUUUAGGUUUUCGACUAUCCUAAGUUCAAAAGUAAUGUAUGUUUUGCCGUCUGAUCUCUCGUUCAUUGUGAAAUGACCAUGAUGCCCCUAAAAUACAUAAAAUACUUAAUUAAAAUAAGACACACAUAAUUAAAUCACAAGAAGCGUAAAUACAUAAAAGUAAGGAUGUUAGUAAGACUUGAAAUGUAAAAUGACGAUUUUCUCCUUUAUAAAUAUACAUUUUCUAACACUCAACAAUUAUCACUUACUUGGAGGCAAUAUGGCGAAAUCUGAUUUCUCACUUGUUCAUCACUCACCUUUGAUUGAUACCAUGAACAAACUAAUUUUGGUGUGGUGAGAAUCGCUUCUCUGCCAUUCCAUCCUAUACAUAUAUAUACAAGAUUACAUCUAUACUGUUCUCCAUAAAUCAAGCUAGACUUCCUACAAUCAAUCAACCUUCCUAAACUAACUUAUUUAAAUACCAAGAAUAGAAAAGAGAAUAUUACAAGAAUAUUAUGCCAGCUAAAUACAAGAUUGACUCCAAUUACAACUAAAAUCCUAACAGUUUUAAAUCUAAUCCCAUAACAAAUGACUUUAAGUUGGUUUUGGUUCACGACUAAAGGCAUGAGAAAAAAAAAAGAGGUAUAGUAAGGUGUCAAAUGGUCAAGAGUACACAUUGAGAAUGAGUAGUUGGAGGUAAAUAUUUGGAUCGUUAUUUUUUAAUUAAAUGGAGAAUUUGGCAAGUACACGUACUUGACGACAAUUUGUUAUUGGUUGGUAAUCUCACAUUCUCGAGACCAAACAGUGAUUCUAUCAUUUCACGUGGAUGAUGAGGUGUUUCAAGAAAUACAAAAUACAAAUACCUCCACGAGUAAAUGAUUACACCGAGCUUUGUUUCUAUAAAGACUCUUUGUCAAUUGUAAUUCCAGAUACACAUAAUUGUUUUGAGGGAUGGGUGAUGAAUGACAUUAAGUAUUGGGCAAAACAUUUAACCUUCGGACUUUUCUGCAAUAUUCCCACAUAUCAUGGAUUAUGUAAGAAUGAUGUGCUUUCUUUAGAAUAUAGGUUUAAUCGUGGUCGCCUUAUUCUACGCGGCCUUCUUUUAUAUGAACAUAGUAAGAAAGAGAUUAGGGAUCUCCAAAUCAUAGAACCAAAACACGUUUUCAUCUCCAAAAAUUAAUAGACACUGGGAGGAAAACACUGAAUGAUAAAUUGACCUAAAUUUCAUAAUUCCACCGAAUUUUUUUCUUUUUUUUUUUUUGGUUCAUCAUGAUUGAGCGUAUGUAGUGGAAAAUGUACGUGGAUGAUUGGUAAUACCAAGGCCUUAGGCAAACUGUAAAUUAGGAUUUUACUUAUUUAUUAUUAAAGAGUAAUUUUUUUUGGUAAUAUGUGUUAUGUAAAAAUUUAUUGCUUAAAGGUUGUUUUUCCUGCUUCUCUAAAUGAGAAAUAGGAGUUAUUAACAAUAAGAAAUUGUGAAUGUUAGGUCUCUAAAUGAAAAGAUCCCUUUGAUGAAGUGUGAGUGAAAGCCAAGUUAUUCUCCAAGAUACUUGUUGUUGAUUAACAAUAUUGUAGAUGUGGACCUAGCUUGAGACUUUAGGUAAUUCAUUUUGAUUGUAAACAGGACUCAAUACAUUCUCAUUAUAAGGAUCGGACUGCAGCCCUGAUUGCAUUGUCGCGAUUUUAGGAGUGUUUGGACCUUGUUGCUGCUAAUUUUCCUUUGUAUAAUAUUUUUUAUGAUUUUAAUUUAUUUUAAGAAACAACAAAAUUUUAUAUGAAAGACUAUUAUAAAGAGUAAUGAUAGAUAUCUCAAUUUUUUAAUCCUAAAGUACAUCUCAAAUAAUAUGUUAUUCAUUAAUUGGUUGGUAAUUCUUUAUAAGAUCCAAGUGAAUUAAUUGUAUACUUCUCACCAAAAAAAUUGAUCAAUGCCACGUCCUUUAGGAUAGCUUUUUGAAAUAAAAUUUUUGGGAUAUAUAGCACUACUCCUGCUAUAAAUGAUUAUUGAUUUUUGGUAGUUAAAAGUUGACUCCUAUUUCUCAUUCGAAGAAGCAAGGAAGACAACAUUAAACAACAAAUUCUUACAUAAUACAUAUAUAUUACCCCCAAACAAUUUUUCUUUAAUAAUACGUAAGUAAAAUCCUAAUUUAUAGUUUGCCAGAGGCCUUGGUAUUGUAAAGCCGGCCAAUCACCAAUCAUCCACGUAUAUUUUCUACCACGCGCUCUUGAUCAUGAUGAACAAAAAAAAUAAAAUAAAAAAUUCUGUGAAAUUAUGAAAUAUAGGUCAAUUUAUCAUACAAUAUUUUUCCUCUUAUUGUAUAGUCAUUAGACUCUCUUUGUAGAUGACAAGAAAUUGGGGAUUUGUGACUUGGAGAUUCUUAAUUUCCUUCGUACGAUGUUCAUGUAAAAAAAGGCAACCACCAUAAAUCCUAGAAUUUGAUUCUAUAAAAAAAGCAUCAUUCUUCCAGAAUCCAAAAUUUAUUCGAAAAUUGAAGAAAGGUCCAAGGGUUAAAUGUUUUGCCCAACACUUAUUGUCAUUCAUCACCCAUAUCUCAAAACACUGCUCUGCGUCUGGAAUUACAAUUGAGAGAGAGUCUUCAUAUAAACUUAUAGACGAGUAAUAAUUUACAUGUGGAGGUAUUUUUAUUUCUUCAAACACCUCAUUAUCCAUGUGAAAUGAAAGAAUCACUUUUAGGUCUCGAGUAUCCGCGAUUACCAACCAAUAACAAACUUUCUUCAAGUAUGUGGACGUACCAAAUUGACCUCCGUCUAAUACAAAAUAACGAUCCAAUUGAUGACCAUGUACUUCUCUCCAACUAUUUGUUCUGAAUCCGUACACUUGAACAUUAGGCACCUUACCAUACCUUUUCCUUUUCUCAUUCCAUAAGUUGUGUACGAAAAGCAAUUUAAAGUCAUUAUUUAUGGGAUCAGAUUCAAGACAGAUGAAAGUACUAGGAGGUAUUAAACGGUUGGAAGAAUUACAAUAUUUAUAAUUUGGAAGGUUUCUAAAUUCUCUUGUUGCUGGAUUCCAUAUAGUUAGACGAUUCGUUGAACUCUGCAUUAUGCAAAAUAAACCAUCAUGAUAGCCCACAAAUUUAUCAUGAAUUUGGGGUUUAAUGUCUUCAUAUGAUAAAUUUGCAAGUUUUUCAUCAUGGAAUAAGUACAAAGCUGAUGUAACGAUUCCCAUACCAAAUACCGCAGAACUAACAGAUGCAUCAACGAAAAGACGAGUUCUUGUACUAUUGUUUUGGAAAUGCUUGGAAAUGAAAGAAGGUUUCUUAGUUAACUCAAGCCAGGACUUGCAAACGCACCUGAAUCGCAAAACAAAUUUAGCUGGCAAUCUUGACAGAAUUUCAAUCGUUAUAUCUUCGGGAAAAGAAUUGAUAUUGGUUGUCAACAUUAUUAUCUCUUCCUGAUUGUAAAUAUAAUCAGUAAUUUUGAUUCUAUAAUGUAACAUCUAAAAUGCUUUAUAAUAGAAGAAUGCGAUAGAGGGGAACCACAAGUUAAUUAUGGGAAGAGAUGCUCAAAAUAAGAGAAAAUUCUAUGGUCCGAAUGAUAAUUGGAGUUGUGUGUUUCAGAUGAUUUUUAGGAUUCAGUUUUUACAAUGGAAUUAGUUUGUUUAGGGAGGGAAAAAAAAAAUAGGUCAACAGCUGUCAAGGAAUGAAGUGAAAAUUACCAAUUUAUCCCAAAACAAAAAGAAAACAAAUUAAGCAGGGGGGGAUGGUCCUUAUUAAAAUUAUUUAUGAUGACAUUAAUUAGUUUGUACAUGCCACUGCUUAAUAUUAUCUAUUUAUGUGUCAGUUAUACUCUUAUGCAUUUUAGUAUUGUCAAAUUAAUGUUAAUCAAAAUGAAGAGUAGUUUCUCGUUCAUCUUCUUUGUUUUCUCUGUUUCCUGCAUCGCAUUCGCCUCCGGUGGUGCACAAGAUUUUCGUCAAUAUUUUCUAGUCCAGACGUGGCCACCUGUGUACUGCCAGGUUCAUAGGCCAGAGCCCUGCAGAAUAAAGCCAUCAAAAUUCGUCCUACACGGCCUCUGGCCAGUAAAUUCUUCCGGCAGGUCCUCGACAAAUACCAAUAAUCAAACUAUUAAUUUACCAGCCAUGGUACCUGCUUCACUCCCAUGGGCUAUAUAUAUAGUUUUUCCUAUACAUUAUUCUACGGUCAUUUAUUAAUUAAUUUUUACUCUUUCUUUGUAGCUAGAAAGCAAUAAAUCUUUUGCUGCCGAGAUGAACAAGUUCUGGCCAAGUCUUACCCGAAAUGAAAAUGAACAGUUUUGGAAGAGGGAUUGGAAGCAUCAUGGCAGAGGCCAACCUAACCUGCCGCCCGAGGAAUAUUUUCGAACUGCUAUCACACUGGUUAAAGCUGCGAACUUGGAGGCCGCAUUUCGAGAUGCAGGCAUAAAUCCAGAUGGAGACAAACUCAAUCCACGGAAAUAUACUCGAGCGAUAAACACCAGAUACGGCACUACGCCACUUUUUAAAUGCUUGAACCGUUCUCUCCUAAUGGAGGUGACACUCUGUGUUGAUGCUCAAGCUACAAAUUUUGUUUCGUGCAUUGCUAGGCCGAGUUCACUGUCUAGGUGCCGUAGAAAAAUUAUUUGGGCUCCGUAGCAAUGUGUUGGGUCGUUCGGAUGUUAAUUUGUUAUCAGUUUUUAAAAUGUUGAAAAUUAAUUUGUCCUUUAAUAAUUUAAACUUUUUAAUUUGUACUCAGUCCAUAAGCUCGUGCUUUCCUACCAUUCCUACAUUCUCUUAGUGUUUAUGGUCUGUUUCGAUGUAAAUAAAAGGUAUUAUAUUAUGAUACAUGGUACAUUACUUUUAGCAAAAGUUUCAUGCUUUAAAAUAUUGACAAGUGGCAUAAUUUAAUGCGUCAAUGUUUUUAAAAAAUUUUAAUUAAUUAAAAGAGAAAUUAUCCACUUACCGUUUUUUCACCUUUUCUUAAAAUACACAAUUUUUUUUUUGCAGCACUAAACGAGGGCUUUCUUCUUGGGUAGACCGUAGGUAAUACAACAACUUUGUUGCCGAGUCCUUGAGUUGUCCACAGUUGGAUGGAUGAUGAAAUAACAAGAAUAAAUCACUGUAAAUUAUUUUUUCCCUCAAUUUAAUUUAAUAUUUUAUUUCUAGGAAUGUUUGACUUGUUGCAGAAGUGCAGGGUUGAGCAAUUACCAAUAUUACGGAAACUGUAAUUUCUAGAGAAAUAUAAAUAUUAUGUAAACAAAUGCAAAGAAAAUGACAAUAAUUUACGUGGUUCGGUGUAAUCCCUAUGUCCACGGAUAAAGACCGGAAGAUAAUUUGACUAAUAAUAGAAUUUUACGAAAGUGGAAAAAAAUUGUCAAUACCCACAACCCCAAUACACCUAAUUGAAUCUUCCUAACACUCAAGUAAAAACUCUCUCAAAACUCUCAAAUUGUUUCACUUGCAAUUGCUCUCAAAAUUGGGAUGAUUCAAGCUCUAACCUCUCCUCUCUAUUUAUAACCAAACGUAUAACAUUGUUCAAAUUGUGUUACUGUUUAAACCACGUUAUUGUUCAAACCACAUUAUUAUUCAAACCGUUACUGUUCAAACCGUGUUACUAUUCGCCGUGUGCAAACCGUGUUACUGUUCACUGUUGACCACCUGCACUUAUGCUUGCUUAAGCAGCUGAUACGGCAAAGAAACAAAAGAUAAUUAAAUUAUGUAAAUUUAAACGAUUGUUAAAUUUAUUUUUGUAUUUUUAAAAAGAUAGAGGGGUAGCUGAGUUCAAAUUAAAAUUUUAGCUCCUUACCUCUCCUAUAAUCGAACUCGAAUAGCCAACCAAAUCAUAUUAAUUGAAAAACACUCGGUCAAAAUAUCUACUUAUGUGAUUUAAAUUGAUAGAAAAAGAAUUCAAAUAAGAAUAAAUUAAGCUUUUUUUUUGGGUUAAUUUAGGUAACGGCAAUCCAAUUCCCAGGCUACUCAUGUGCGGGGAUUCGAAUCUCACAUCUCCAGAACAACAAUGCUGAAACUCGUCUUUUUAUUAAUGCAUUCGUUGAUUCUGUGGAAUUUGGUAAGGAAAUUAUUGCAUCAGCUUCGUAUUUAUUCCAGGAUGAAACGCUUACAAGUUAAUUUAUCAUAUGAAGAUAUUGAAAGCCAAAUUAUAAGACGUUUUGACAAUUUCGUGGACUAAUAUGAUGGUUUAUUUUGCAUAUUAUACAAUGACUUUUAAGUUGAUUAUUUUUUUUUUUUUAUUACAUGAGACUAUUGCUCAGAUUACAACUCAUAUUACAUGAGAUUAUAACUUAUAUUUACAAAUCAGACUAUUACUGGGACCAACUUACAUCAAUGCUAAUGGAGCUCUGCCCAGAUUUUAACCCUCACAAAUAUUCAAGGGAUGUCUACUCCUCACUCAUGGGUAAGGGAGAAGACUACCUUCACUCAAUUAAUUGAGGAAAGAAAUACCCCCACAAUGCUUUUGUUGGGGUUCAAACUACUGUCCUCCAAGUUGGAGGGCAGCAGCCCUGGCCACUCGGGCUGAGCCGAGUGGUUCUUUUAAGUUGAUUAUUGGUACAAGACUCGUGGGAUGAGAAAGUACGGUAAGCUGUCGAAUGAUCAAGUGUACACAUCCAGAAGAAAUAGUUGAAGAAAUAUAUGAUCGUCAAAUGGAUCGCUAUUUAGUAUUGGACCUUUCUUCAGUAUUCCUAGACAUUAUGGAUUGUGGAAGAAUGGCGCAUUUAUUUAAAAAUCUAUAUAUGUUGAAUUCAUACAUAAGAAAUUAGGGAUCUCUAAAUUACCAAUCCGGAUGAUGUUUUUAUUUACAAAGAGAGUCUAAUGACAAUAUAAUGAGAGGAUAAAGAGCCUCUUGUGUGUAGCUCAACCAGCCAUGAAUAUUUAUUGCAAUUACAAUAACUUAAGUUUGAGUAAUAAGUUCUAAUAGUCCCGAAUACAUUAAAUACAUGCAUUAAGAUACGAAGACUUCUUAUUCCAAAACAAUGAAAGUACUUUUUCACUCUUCCAUAUACUAAUGGAUUUCAAUUGGAAAAGAAAAUGAUCCAUACUAAUGGAUUCAGGUCCAUAACCAUGGGUUCCAAUGCACGAAAUCUUAUAGCACUUACCUAUGUGGCCUUAUUAACUAGUAGUAAAUAGAAGAAAUUAAUUAUAAACAUUAAUACAAGUAGAUUUGGGAUCAAGGAUUAGUGUGUAGUGGGUGAAAUUUCUAUCCCUAUCCAAUUUUUUUUUCAAAUAAAGGAAUAUUAAAAAGAGAGAAGAUAAAUUAUCCUAAUUUUUCCAAUUUUCAUGGCAUAUCUUAGAUUUAAGUUCUACAUGCAUUGCCUCGUAAAAUGGUUUACGCUCUACAUGCCUGGGAAAUUACAAGUGGGUGAUUGAUGUUAUUUCCAAAUGGAUUGCCAAUUUAUGAUCAAAGCUUUGUUAGAGCCAGCACAAAAGUCAACAAUUAAUGAAUCCAAAUCUCUCUUUAUGACACUAACUGAUUAACUUAUUCAUGUUGUGGUCUCCCCUCUCUUUCAAAUCAUUUAUGUUCUGAUGAUAUAACGAUUGAAAUUUUGUCAAGCUUACCAGUCAAGUCUCUUAUGCGGCUCAGGUGCAUAAAUUUUGGCAUGAUGAGUUGAUUGCAUCAGCUUUGUGUUUAUCCCAAGAUGAAAAAUUCACAAAUUCGUCAUAUGAAAUUCUUUAGCGAAUCACCAAUAUUUUAAAAUUAAAAAUUUUUAACUUUAUUUAUAUGCUGCAAUGAGAGAAAAAAAGAUGCUGAAAGCAAGCAGAUAAAAGAUGACAGAGAACCUGUUUGUAAGGGUUAGAUACAUACAAGGUGCCCUUACCAGAAGGGUGAAGGAAACAUUUUUAUAUGCUUCAGUCUUCGUACUCAGUCUCCUCAUCAUCAUCUUCAUUAUUUUGCCCGUACCUAAAUCCAUCCUCAACAUUGUCACGAUCUUCCUCAGUUUCUUCACUAUCUUCUUCCUCGUAAACUUCUUCUUUAGGAGUCCAUUGUUGCUUUCUCACUACAUUCAAGGUGGCAGGAGAUGGAGUUGAGCUUUUGCGUUGCGUUACUUUUGCAGGAGGCAUCUUCAAGUUUGGCUUCGCCCGGCUUUGUUUUUGACUUUUACCAUUAACACGUUUUCCAGCAUAGGCAUCUUGGUCACUGCCUUCAUCCAUCUCAUUAUCAGCAUUAGUUGUGGCAUUCUCGGCAUUUUCAUCAGACAUAUGGCCAGGAUGCUCCCGCUUCAGAUGGAGUUUAAGCUUGUAUUCAUGGAUAUAUGCCUUUUCACACCCUUCAUAAGGACAUGCAUAAGGACGUUCAGAUGAUGCAGAACCAUAAACCCCAGCAGGUGGCUUGGGAGUUUUUGUUAUCCUCUCGGGAGGAGUAGCGUAUCUGGGCACCUCCACUGCAGCAUUCUGAGAAAUCAAAUCUCGAAACUAAGAAUCAGAUAUGAUAUACGAGUUUUGAGAGAAAAUAUAUAUACAGACGAUCUUUGCUUCAUGCCAAUCAAUUUCUGAAAUUCAUGUUGGCAGAAUGGUAUUUUGAUGUCCUAUGUAUAUCAAAUAAAAUUAAAAAAAUAAAAAGAACAUAAUUAUGAUAACCAUUCUAGAUCUACAGUGAAGUCAACCAGCGACACAUGGGAUGAUCUUAAGAGUUUUAAGAAAAAUAGCAGAUGGUUUCUGUACUACAUCUUUCAGUGAUAAUAAUAACCAUUUGUACUAUGACCAUACUAAAGGUGAAAUGAAUACAAUUCCACUAGAACACAAACAUUCAUAUGUUGCCAUUGUUAACAGACUUGAAGGAUAUCUUUAGAAAAGAAAUAAGUAAAAUUCCUUUUGACAGAUGACUAAUAUAAUCUGAGAUGAAACCGAAGUCAUGUUGCUUUACACGUCAUAAACUACAUAAGAUAUGUUCUAUGAAAGGAAUUAACUUAAAAUGCAACAAAAAAAGCAGGAAAAAUAUCUAAAAUAGCAAAGAAAAAUACUAAAAAGGCGUUGGCACUGCAAAAUAGUAACAGCAAGGAAAUAGCACCAACCUUUUCGUGGUGAGAUGCAAUAUGAUUCUUUAACUUGUACUCAUGAGCAUAUCUCUUUCCACAAUCUGGGUAUGGGCAGAUGUGAUAAUUUUCUUGUGAAUGUGUUUUCAUGUGUGAUCUCAGGUUGAAGUCCAAAGAGAACGCCUGCAUAUUUCAUAUUUGUAAUUAGGAACACCACAAAUGCUGGGUACAAGUACAAGUGUGUGCACAUACAGAAAUGUACAAUAAAGUAACAUCUUAAGCCAAAACGGCAACCUCAAGGUAAGAUUAGCACUAUGCCCUUUACAAGAUGAUGAAAAAACAUGAGUCUCUCAUAUUUGAUCCAUCCAAGUUACAAUACAACCAACCCUGAUAUUAAGUACCGAACAUUCAUUCUCAAUAAUAAUGGGAGAGGUCUUCACAGAGAGUCGGUCCAAAUAAAACAAGGUUAUAGGGGGAUUCCAAAUACACUAAUACCCCUAAGUGGCUUUUGCAUAGUGGCAUUUCUCAAGACUGAACUCCAUGAUCCUCCACUUGCCAGCCUGAGACUUCAACAUCAUUGGGUCCCCCUGGAUUGGAUACAUGACACUUAAUAUUGUAUGGCAAUCAAAGCGUCUCACAGAAUCUUGCUUACUAAAACCCAUGAUGUCCUCAGCAAUCACAGGGUACAACAAACUGUACUUCUCUUUUCAAAAUAUUAUUAAACAUCCAAGGUAUUAAUAUUAUUUACCAAAUGACCUAAAAUUUUAAAAUUGUGGGCAAGGGACCAUAAGACAAUGGAAUCAAUCAUCAAAUAGAAAUGUUUCAGGCAGAAAACAAAUGUAUAAUAUUUCUCAUAUCUUAUGAUAAUGUCAGCAAUAAGAAAAAAGAAAAAGAUAAGGUAGCCUCGGCAAAGUUUUGACAAAAUGCUUUAGGAUGGAUAGAUUCUUCACCUUACCACAGCCUUCAUGAGGACAUACAUAAUCUCUUUCUCCAGUAUGAAUAAGAAAGUGUCUUUUUAACUUCGAACUAUCCAAAAAUUUCAAAAACCAUUUUUUAUAUGCCUGAAAGAACGACAUCAAUUAAAAAAAAAAUUCAAGAAAAAGAGAAAUAAAAAAAGUGAUGAGGCUUAGCCUUUAACAUAACAUAAAUAUACCAAGAAAACAAUUUGAGGAUGGUUUACAAAAGACUGUACAUGAACAAGGCUGGACCACCUUCAGUCCCAAACCAGACUGACAGAUCUUAUUUAACCAGAGGGUUUAAACUAGCCGCACAAAAAGACCCACCAAAAGAAAAAAUGUUUGGUGAUAGCACCUGAUUCUCAAUAGUACCUUUGCUUCCCCACUCAAAUCAUCGAUGCAAAUUGCUUUCAUACACAUGAAGUUCCCCAAAUUUUUACAACUCAGAAACACUCCCGACAUUAAAUACGUCAUGUCUUACCUUUCCAUGUUUAAUCCAACAUCCCACAAUUUUUAGAGAGGCCAUGUAUAAAUGUCUUCCCACAGCCUUCAUAGCUGCAUAGAAAUAGAACUUCAGUGGUAGGUUCUGGCUCCGGCUCUGGUGCCUCUGGCUCUUUUGCCUUCUCCUUUAAGGCCUUCAAUGUUUUCUCUGAACACAAAUGGACGAAGGACAUAAAAUGUUGGGAAUAAAUUAACAUGAGAAUUCUUUAAAAGUAAAUUUUGACACAAAGCCAUCUAAAGAUUUCUCCUCUUACAAAACUCUGACAUGGCUCCCCUGAAUCUAAUGGAAACUAUGGAAAUUUAAAUGCCAAAGCUUCCAUUAUUGAAUCAAAAGCAAGUUGAAAGACCAUUAGCACAUCAGAUGUAGUGCACUACUCACAGAAAGAAACAAAAAUGCAAAUGAGAAUCUACAACCGACAAAAUAGUGUGAAAGCUUAACAACAGAUAACAGAAAGAACUGAUAACCACUAGCUAGCAAGAUAUACUCAUCAAAUACAGCAUGCCACCUUAAAACAAUGUUGCUCAUAGAGUUACAUGGUAUUCACACAAAAGCAGCAAAGCAAAAAUAUGGAAAACCCUACAAUCAUUUAAACUUCCAAAUAAAAUGAAAAAAUACACUUUAUUUAUUUAAAAAAAAAAAAAACUAAUGUUCUAAUGGCAUGUUUAAAAGGAUAAAUUGUAUCAUCUUCUCCAUUCAUAAUCUUGAAUAUUAAUCUCAUCCAAUUCACAACAAACUGAUCCUCAAAGAUAUCGAAUUCCUUAAGCACCCAAAAAAAUGAAAAUAACAAAAGAAAUCCCGAUUCCACCUCUUUGGACUAGAAUAGCCUAUGGAGACUUUGCGACCAUAGCCCAAUAAGUUCUAAUUGCAACAAAAUUUGCAAACAUACAAAAUUCUCAGAAUUUCCCAUUCAAAGCAAAGAAGAAGAAGCAUUUAAAUUAGGUACUCUAAAUGCUGUUCAACUUAGUUUCCAUUUAUUUCUUCAACUUAGUUUUCAUUUAUUUCUUCACCAAACACUAACUUAUUUAACUUUCAUACAAGUCGAAUCAAACAACAGUUAUUAACAAAUAACAACAUAUAAAAAAACCAAAAAAAUUAAAAAUUUAAAUUUAAAUUCAACGAAAUUUUUUUUGUUAGCAUAAGAAUGUAAAAAAAUCACUUACCAUUUACCCAUCUCAAAAUCUGGCACUUCCC
rnacentral:lncRNA from 1 species